rnacentral:lncRNA from 1 species
UAUAAAAAAAUAGUAGAUUCAUUGAUUCAACAAAAUACCCAACUAGCCAGGAAAUAAAAAGUUGCUUAAAUAAUCUAAGUACCACAAAAUCAAAUUAUAUUAUCCAAAAAGCUAAAAUUCUAAAAUCCAUAUAUUAAGAAAAUGCUUAAUUAAAACUUUCAACCUUGUGGUUAUUGACCUUCCAGAAAAAACUCUAUCUGCAAAUCAAAAAAACAUAGACAUAAAUCAGUCAAAUAGUUGUGAAAUUAAAAAAAAUGUAUAUAAAGAAAGAAAUGUUUAAAUAAUAAAUUGUGAAUUUUCCAACAAUAUAGCUAUACUAGCAUUAUAGCAACCAAGAUCAAUAUCCAUAGAAUUUAGAGGAUCCGCAGAAUCGGAUUCUGGUUGAAAGCUUAAUUGAAGUUUAAAAGUAUUUAUUACUUACAUGAUAUUUUUCUCUAGUAUAUGUUCAUCCCAUUAGCAGCCAAAAUUGACAAACUAUGUUCUCAUCAUAUAAAAUUGGUAUUUAUGACAAUACAAAUUGUCAUAAAUUAUUAGUUUUCCGUCUUUAAAAAAUUUCCCUCCAAAAAUAAUUUUGCCUCUAAAUAAAAUUGUGAUGAUUUUUUAUUUGGCGUCACUAAAUUUGAACAUUAGUGACGAAAGCACAUUAUCACUAAAUGUUACAAAUAAUUAAUGACAAAUUAUUAUGUUGUCAUCGAAAGAAAUAUUUGGUGACAAUAAAUACUGUCAUCAAUUAUUACAAAAUGUCACUAAAGGGUUUCCCUCCAAAAUUUAGGUGCAAAAUUCCACCUCCAAAAUAAUUUGUGACGAAAUUUUCUUAAUCGUCAUCAAAUGUGUAAAUUAGUAACGAUAUAAAUGAUUAAUAGUUACAACAGUAAAAGUCAUCACAAAAGUAAAAGUAGUAGUGACGAUUAUGAAUUUCGUAAUUAUUAAUUAACAAAUUAUGACAAAAUUUUGUGUGUGGCAAAAAUUUCAUCAUAAAAGGUGUGAUUUCUUGUAGUGAUAACCCUACAUAGUGCUAAUACUGGUAAUAGUAAUUCCUACCUAGUGGUAAUUUCUUACUAAAAAACUAGUCAUUUGUUUUGUUUUUUUCUUAUUGAAUGAUUUGUUUUGAUUUUUGUCCUUUAUAAGCUUUGGUAAGAUAAGAAUAUCAUUGUUAUUCAUUUUUGUGUACUUUGCUUAGCUAGAGUUUCUUGGCCAAUUGAGUUAUAGAAAGAGAGGGUAAAGAUAGAAUAUUUCGGUGACCAAUUCGACGUGAUUGUGAUCAGCGCCGACAUAAUGGGAAGCACAACAACUUACCAAACAACAAAACGUGGCGAGAAAACCCUCCUUUUAGAGAAAUUUGAUUUCUUAAACCACCUCGGAUCAUCCCACGGUGAGUUGAGAACUCUCCGGGCAACUUACCCGGAAGAUUACUACUCCGGCAUGGUCAUAGAAUCAACACAACUUUAUGAAUAUGGCAAAAUUGAAAUUGGGUAUAAAGUUUAUUUUAAGGGGCCAUAAUUCGAUUUGGGCCCGGCCGACAACAAGAGUCCUAUCUAAUACUGCCAGUUGCCGGAAGAAUUGGGUUACUGGAGAGUCAUAUUUUGCUGUCAAAAUUGAAUUUUUUGACAGGAUUGAGUUACUGGAGAAUUGGGUUCAAGGGCGGAGCCAAGAAUUAAUUUUCUACUGGGCUACCAAGUACCAGUUGUCGUUGUCUUUGAUGCACUUUUUCUUGGUUUAAAGAAAGAAAACAAAGUUUUUUCUCUCUUUCUUCCUUGACUUUCCAUUGCUUUUGGUGAGAAAUACAAGUCAAAGAGGGUUGCUAAUGAUCAAUGGAGAACCAAAAACAACAAUAUAAAACCACAUUAUAAUUCUCAAAGCAGAAACAAAAAUAACAGUAGCAACUACUACUUUAAAACAUAUAACAAUCAACAAGAUAGCCAGACUUUAGGAGCAUAGUACUAAAAGUUCAGCAAAAUUCAGGUAGAAACAAAAGAACUAACAUUCAAAACUCUCGCUAAAAUUUGUAGACAGAAGUGGCACCAAUUUUUCAUGCUUCAAUUGUGCGUAAAUGUAUAUCACCUCUAGAAAUGUCUAAAUUCAACUUAAAAACAACAGAAGUAUCUAAUGUCACCUUCACAAACACUAACUGAGCAAGUAGUAGCUUCUAAUGCCACUUGCAUAAUGAUUUACAAGAAGAGUAAUUGCUAGUGUAGAUUAGAUCUCCCCAAGAUAAAUUUGUUUAUCACUACUACGGGAUCCAAUAAUAGGUUCAGUAGGGUGGAAGGCGCAUUAGUUUACACCUAACUUUGAGCAUAUAUAACUCCUCUAUUUCAGUCCUAAUACACUGCCCAAAACAGUACCCACAGUUGUCUUAACAUGUUAGAAACUCAUCUAUUAGCUUUAGCCUAAAAAAUGCACUUUGUUUAAGUUUAACAUGCUAAAACACUUUAAUUGUUAUCACAUAUGUUAAAUAAAUCAAGCCCAUGCUUUACUUUGCUCUGAUAUUCAGUUUUUAGCCAAAACAGUUCUUUUAGAACUUUUAUCAAACAGUUGGUAGGCACAGUUUUAAGUUACCAAUUUCACAGCCAUUGGUUUACAUCAUAAACCCAUAUCACCAUCCUUAUGUCUCCUCAGCCCAGCCUAAACUCCUCUAGCUAUAUAUCAAACAAUAGCAGUUCAAAACAUUAACGAAACAUGAAUAUUCAAGCAAUUCUUUUGAUUAUCACAUAACUCAAUUAACUUACUAUCUAAUCACAUACUAACCAAUUUUCUGCUCAUACAAUAUAAAAUCUAAAUUACCUGAAGUUGAGUUAUGUUCUUCAACUUAGCCCUAGAUGUGUAGUGUGCCCUAGAUUGUUCUUCAAUCUGCUCAUUGCUCGUCUGCUCGGUAGUACCUCUUGCAGGAAAUGUUCCUUGCUCGGUAGUUCCCGUUCCUUUAUUUUUGAGAUUACUUGGGCAUUUGGGCUGGGCUAAGAUAUAUAAGUAAAAAAAAAAAAAAAUUGGCCCGGGCUACAGCCCAACCGAGCCCCUAUAUGGCUCCGCCCCUGAUUGGGUUGUUUUUUUAACUGAAAUAGGGGGUACGUGUAAUUAAACUCCUAAAAGCUAUAUCCAUGUUUCAAGAACUUGCUCAUAAACAUGGGGCUAGUCUUAGAGACAACAUUGAAUUGGUGGAUUUGAGGAAAGAUGAGGCUAGAGGUGGCAUCUUGGUGUAC